GUUAUCAAGUCGUAAACGGUUAGUAACAGGACAAGCAGGUAAGUAAGAUUUUGUCUUGUUAUUUUCUCGAAAUAAACCAACGCUCCGCUUGUCAGGAGGAAACAAACAUCGCGUUAAAGACUUGGUUGAUCGAUUUGAGUAUGUUGAUUUUUUUAAACACACUUUUCUGUCAAAUAUGCAGAAAACGGCAGUCAUUGAGAAGUCAGUAUGGGAUCGGGAAGCAAACAAGCUAGCAGGCAUUAGCUUAGCCUGCUUGCUAAAUCGGCGGUGAUUGGUCAGGCUCCCAGCGUCAACUUACUACGUCACUGCAGCUCAGGCUCAGACAUUGUGCUGCAUUAAAGACUCCUCGGACAAAGUUGUUGCGCUUGUUUGAAAGUCGCUGUCUGGAUUUAGAGUGGGCACGUUAAAACUAAAAAAAGAUGCUAAUUAACUGAUUAAUUUAAAAUUUAUGUAGCAUUUAUUAAUGUUAGUCGAAAUGGACGGAACCUUAAGUGUAAACGCCAUCAUCGUGUUACUUAUUAGAAAUUAGCGCAAGUCUCAUAUGCAAAAUGUCUGUCAAAUAAGCUAUUAAACGUUAAGGAUUUCCCAACAAUAUUUCUGAUAAACUAGUACAUAGUGUUUUUUCUCCUCACUAAUUUUCCAAUUUUUUUGCUUCCUCUUAGAGAUCCUCCUCAUAGUCUCGGAUAAACGGAAGUUCACUUUGCCGUUUAUUCCAAGUCCCCUUAAAGUAGCAUUAGCUAGGCUAACGUUAGCAUCUCAACUAUCGUUUUAGAGAAAGAUGUGUUAAUUUUAUUACUUGAAUGGUGGGAAAAUUGCUGUUUGACAGGAUAGCUCUAAUGGUAACGUUGGUAUAAGCUGUGUUCGAAAUAUUCAAGCCUGGUGCUGAAAUUAUUCAACAUAUUAAACUUUUAUUUUAAAUUUUCAGUCAUAACGUUCCUGCAGAGGAGGUUAGCCAGUUAGCGUUAGCUUACCAGCUGGACGUUCAAAACCAUUGAGACUAAAAGUGCUUUUAAAACUGUAAAUAACUUCAUCUUAUUAGUAUAAUUCUCUUACCAUGUAUGUAUUUAUAUUAAUUUAUUAUUUUCCAUGUUUCAUUUUCAGGUGUCAUGUUAUUCCUUCCCCUGGUAUCUGGAAUUAUGGACACUUGGAUUACUGAAAGGAACCCCUCACCAAUGGAGUCAAAGGUAUGUAUAGAUAUCAUAAUUAUAAUUGUUGAUUUAUUGUUUUUAAGGUGUUUCUCAUAGAGUUGAGGAUGACUUCUAUAAGUCCUCACCUGUUGUACUCUCAACAAAAAAUUGAGGUUGUGGAUACUGAGAGUUGAAAC